UUGUUAUAAGUCUGUGAAAAAGUUAUUUUGAGUCUGACAUCCACUAUCGCCAGGUCAAUGUAGGAAUUGGCACGAGGUAAAGUUGGCGCGUCUGUUAGCAGUAAAUUGCACCUGUAUUUUAUAUUAUUUUCUUGUAACCAUUUAUGUAAUUGCGUUCCCCUAGCAUUAUUUGUCAAAUUUAGCCAUGAAGUGUGUUUAGCGUUAAAAUCACCUGCUAAAAUGUAGUAAUUGUUCAGGCCGCUCAGAUUCAAUACUUCGAAUAUUUUUUCCAUUUCUGUUAAAAACAUAUGUGAGUUUCUAUUUGUUGCAUACAUAGAAACUAUAUAUAAUUGUUUUCCUUGUUUUAAUUGUAGUGCUAUAAUGAUCGGUUCAAUGCAUUGAAAGUCAUUAAAAAUGUCAUUAUUUACAAUGCUAAACUGGAAAUGUCUUUUAAUUCCUAUGGCAACACCUCCGCCUUCGAGACCAUUUUUACGAUCUCGCCUGAUUAUUUUGUAAUUAUUUACCACGAGGUGGUCAGUUGAUUUAAGUUUUGUCUCACACAUACAAACAAUGUCAGGCUUAUAGUUCUCCAGAAAAUGCAUAAAAGAGAAUUUUUUAUUAUACGAGAUUAAUGAGUUGACAUUAAUCGAAAUCAGAUUAUAUCGUAUGUCAUUGUCAAAUCUAAUCAUAUUGGUGGUUAGUUUCAAUACUCAUACAGUCAAAUAGUAUGUUUAUUCUAUCAGUGUUAGUAUUUAUAUUUUUUUCAAUGUUAAUAAAUUUUUUUUGCAUUUCUUGGAUGCAAUUCCUUAUUUCAAUCAAGAUAUUGUUAGUAUUGUUACUAAUACUAUUAUCGGUAUUAAUUUUAUUAAUAUUAUUAUUACUUACAAUACUAGCAUACGUAUUAGGUCGAGUAAUGCUAAAGGCAAUGUGUUUGUUUUGGAUUUUUUGUUUCGUCACUUCCGCUGCUUCCAGACGUUUAGAGAGUUUUGCCUUGAACUCUGGGCAGUUCCGAUAUGAGGCUGGGUGACCAUGAUUUUUACAAAGUGUGCAAAAUAGUUUUUCCUUUGGGUCCUCCGGCUUAAUAUUACAAUUUCCAGUUUGACGAAUGAUGGCCAAAUCGCUGGCAACGUGUGCACUGCAUAAUAUUGGGCUUAUUAAUACGUUCCCAGUGGAUUAUCAGAUGGUCAAUUGCUUUUAUUUUCAUAAUAUCGCUUAGUGAACUUCGUGGUGCGGCUUGAACAAUGAAAAAUGGUAAUAUUCUACCUUGUGAUGUUGAAUGCUUUGUGACUCUCUAGCACCUCAUCACAGGAAUAAGAGCUGUUCAGUCCUUUCAGAACCAGCGACAACCUUUUUUCUGCUUUUGGUGUGAAUGUAUAGUAAUUUAUACCAGAUUUUUCUAAAACACCACGAGCUUUUUUGAAGUCAUCUAUAUUAUAUGUCACUGCUAAGAAGUUGUUUCAAUAAUUUAACAUCUGUCUUACCGAAAUUGAUAGGAGGCAUUCUUUUGCUGCUGCUGGAGUUUCUGGUACCGCUGGGAGUUUUCUUCAUAAGUAUUUCAUCUUCAGCGUUAGUUUUUUUGUUGCAAGUUCCUGUAUUUUGAUUUCCAAUUCAAGAUCAUCAUUUUGAAGAUCAUUAUUCUCGGAACGAUUUGGCUGUGCACUAUCUACCUGUGGUUCAUCAGACUCUUCCGUUAUAUCCAUUAAGGC